rnacentral:rRNA from 1 species
GUACCACCGGAGGAAGUCACGGCUAACUACGUGCCAGCAGCCGCGGUAAUACGUAGGUGGCGAGCGUUGUCCGGAAUUACUGGGUGUAAAGGGCGCGUAGACGGGUAGAUAAGUUAGAUGUGAAAUACCGGGGCUUAACUCCGGGGCUGCAUUUAAAACUGUUUAUCUUGAGUGCAGGAGAGGGAAGCGGAAUUCCUAGUGUAGCGGUGAAAUGCGUAGAUAUUAGGAGGAACACCAGUGGCGAAGGCGGCUUUCUGGACUGUAACUGACGUUGAGGCGCGAAAGCGUGGGUAGCAAACAGGAUUAGAUACCCUGGUAGUCCACGCUGUAAACGAUGAUUACUAGGUGUGGGAGGUAUCGACUCCUUCUGUGCCGGAGUUAACACAAUAAGUAAUCCACCUGGGGA